GAAGGGUGAGAGGACUGGCCUGAGGUCACCCAGCUAGAGAAAUGCAGGGCAGGGGCUAGAGCUGAGCACGCUGCAGCCGUGGGGGGCGGGGGGGGGGUCUCCUAUACCACACCUGUAAGUCCCCUACAGAGCAGUGCCCCAGCUUUUCUUCCUGCCCCUAGGUGUCUCCCAAAUAUUUUCUAGGCUCUCCUCGGUCCUGGACCCCCACUCAACCUUCACAAGCCCAAGGCGCCCGAGGGGCUGAGGGAGCCAGACAGAAGGAACCAUGAGCCCUGCUGCACAGCGGGGAAGCCAACCCCCAGACCACAUGAGAACACCGAGGUCCACAGUGGGUGGAGCUAGGCCAGAUGCUGGCUUCAGACUUCUGUCUCCUGCCCUAACCCUUGAGGCAGGCCAGAAAAUAUGUGCUGGGGGAGGAGGAGUAGGGGUUCCUGCAGAGGAGGGGGAGAUAAGAAUGGGUAGGCUUUGUGACACUGCCUGGCCCCGCGGCCUCACGCACAGCCUGCUCCCUCCCUGUGGGCUAAGUGGCUGCUGCAGGAGGAGGGGACAAUAAGAUAGCAUGACGCUGCACGUCUGCGUGUAGAUAAGCGCGAGGGCACCCACCUACAGGCUGCCCUCGGGGGCAGCCGAUCCACAGAGAGGGGCUGAGUGAGCCACACGAGGUAUAUCCAGAAGCUUUCGAUGGAGUCCAGCCAGCCCCAAAUCCCACCCAUGCUACUACCCCCACUUGGGUAUCACCCCUGUUCAGAGGCCCAUCUGGGCACUACACGGUAGCGUGGUGACUCUUGGGUCCUCUCUGCUUCAUCGGUCCGUAUGCAAAUGAUCCAGGCAUACGUACAUACAUGGUGUCGCAACCUCUCUGGAACCUGGCUAGUCGUAGCUGGGACUGUCAACAGUGGCUACGUGCUCCGUGCCCCCACUGGAACAGAGGUCACGUGCCCUUGGCUAGGAAGCCUGUUCAUAUGGGGGCCUCAGUUUAAAGAUUCUCUACUGACUCCUUGCUCUUGAAGCUCUUGGCACUUGAGAAGGAUGGAGAGCAGAGGAAGAAUGGUACAUCUUUCAUGCUGGCCCGCUGGCCCCGCAGCAGGCAACCCCAGCUUCCAGCCUCUGGAUUGUGGGGUGGGGGGGGUGGC